rnacentral:rRNA from 1 species
AGUGAACGCUGGCGGCGUGCUUAACACAUGCAAGUCGAACGAGAACGGAAUAUAGCUUGCUAUAUUUGUCAGCUAAGUGGCGCACGGGUGAGUAAUGUAUAGAUAACCUGCCCUUAAGAAAGGAAUAACAGUUGGAAACGACUGCUAAUGCCCUAUAUGCCUUUAAUACAUAAGUAUGCAAGGGAAACGCUUUAGUGCUUGAGGAUGGGUCUGUAUGGUAUCAGUUAGUUGGUGGGGUAAUGGCCUACCAAGACAAUGACGCCUAACUGGUUUGAGAGGAUGAUCAGUCACACUGGAACUGAGACACGGUCCAGACUCCUACGGGAGGCAGCAGUGGGGAAUAUUGCACAAUGGACGAAAGUCUGAUGCAGCAACGCCGCGUGGAGGAUGACACAUUUCGGUGCGUAAACUCCUUUUAUAUAGGAAGAUAAUGACGGUACUAUAUGAAUAAGCACCGGCUAACUCCGUGCCAGCAGCCGCAGUAACAC